UACGUAGGGGGCAAGCGUUGUCCGGAAUCAUUGGGCGUAAAGAGCGUGUAGGCGGCCAGGUAGGUCUGCUGUGAAAACUCGAGGCUCAACCUCGAGACGUCGGCGGAAACCAUCUGGCUAGAGUCCGGAAGAGGAGAGUGGAAUUCCUGGUGUAGCGGUGAAAUGCGCAGAUAUCAGGAGGAACACCCGUGGCGAAAGCGGCUCUCUGGGACGGUACUGACGCUGAGACGCGAAAGCGUGGGGAGCAAACAGG
rnacentral:rRNA from 1 species